UUGGGAAUCUUGGACAAUGGGGGAAACCCUGAUCCAGCCAUGCCGCGUGAGUGAUGAAGGCCUUCGGGUUGUAAAACUCUUUCGCGCACGACGAUAAUGACGGUAGUGCGAGAAGAAGCUCCGGCUAGCUUCGUGCCAGCAGCCGCGGUAAUACGAAGGGGGCUAGCGUUGUUCGGAAUUACUGGGCGUAAAGCGCGCGCAGGCGGUCUUCCAAGUCAGUGGUGAAAGCCCGGAGCUCAACUCCGGAACUGCCAUUGAAACUGUUGGACUUGAGGAUGAGAGAGGUGAGUGGAAUUCCCAGUGUAGAGGUGAAAUUCGUAGAUAUUGGGAAGAACACCGGUGGCGAAGGCGGCUCACUGGCUCAUUACUGACGCUCAGGCGCGAUAGCGUGGGGAUCAAAC
rnacentral:rRNA from 1 species